rnacentral:lncRNA from 1 species
UUCUAGACCUAGUUGUGGCUAAGGGCAGUUGUAUGAUGAGACAGGUAGGCAGUGGUGAGCAGGAGCUUGAGAGUAUGAGGUACUCCACUCACAUGCAAAGGCCCCUCAAGGACCUUUAAUGGGACAGGUUUGUAUGCUGGCUGUCUCUCCACAGCUAGAUUUCCAGGCAGCACUUCCCAAGAUAACUGUAAAUUCAAACUGGUCUUCACAAUCAUAAAGGCAUGUAUUAUUUGGUCCUCCUUUGGUCCUCUUGCCCUCAAACCAAGAAGGGGGUUUUCCAUCAUGUCAGGAGCUUUAUCUUGUUAAUAUCAGAUCUUUUGCUCCUCGCUGAUUACAUGGCACCCACCCUACUGCAUAGUAGUUGCCCAGUAAGAAUUUUGGGGUAAGUGAAAAAAAAUAUAUCUAUCAUAUCAAACUUGGGGUGAUCUUUGGUGUUAAGGAGGUAAAAAGACAACUUCAGUAGCCUCAGAGUAUUCCGUGGAUUGUUUAGCAAAUAAUAUAGCAUCUCUAUUUCCUACCAGUGGGGCAUCUGAGCAUGAAUAAAACAGCACCUGCAUCAUCCCUUCAUCUCAGAAACGCAGAGGAAAGACUCCAAGCAAACUCAACAAGGAGAAGCUUCAGGACAGAGAAAGAUAAAACAGUGUUUGGAAAUGUGAUCCUCUCAAGGCUGCACACCGGCAUCAUCUUGGAGGGAGAACCAGUACAAAUGUGUCCCAAUGACACAUGGACUUCCGGAGACAUCUACUGGAUACAUACUUUCCCAAAAGCAAAUCCCAAACUGAUUGGGUUGACAAUUCUAACGCCUUAUUCACUAAACAAAAACAAAACAAAGCACUGUGAUGAAAAAUCUGAAGGAACAUACACGUUAGCCCACAGGCUCAAGAAAGCAAAUGGAGGCUGACCAUGAGGCUGACCUCAUGAGAGGAGCCACACAGGCCAAUGAAAGGCUUGGAUUCUGCAGCUGGGUUAGCCAAAGCUGAAAUCCUGCUUCGAUUUCUUAUUAGUUCUGUGAUCUUGGGCACAUUUUAAAAACUCCCUGAAUUUCCAGGCCCCUGGGUGGCUCAGUUGGUUAGGAGUCUCCCUUUAGCUCAGGUCAUGAUUCCAGGGUCCUGGGAUUGAGACCUGCAAUGGGCUCCCUGCUCAGUGAGGAGUCUUCUUCUUCCUCUUCCUCUGCUCCUUCCUGCUUU